rnacentral:rRNA from 1 species
CCAAUAGCGUAUAUUAAAGUUGUUGCAGUUAAAAAGCUCGUAGUUGAAUUUUGGGUCUGGCCGGGCGGUCCGCCCUCUGGGUGAGCACUGUUCCGACGCCGGGCCUAUCCUUCUGGUGAGUCGGCAUGUCCUUUAUUGGGUGUGUCGGGGAACCAGGACCAUUACCUUGAAAAAAUUAGAGUGUUCAAAGCAGGCGUAUGCUCGAAUACAUGAGCAUGGAAUAAUGAAAUAGGACGCGUGGUGCUAUUUUGUUGGUUUCUAGAACCGCCGUAAUGAUUAAUAGGGAUAGUUGGGGGCAUUAGUAUUAAAUUGUCAGAGGUGAAAUUCUUGGAUUUAUUGAAGACUAACUUCUGCGAAAGCAUUUGCCAAGGAUGUUUUCAUUAAUCAAGAACGAGAGUUAGGGGAUCGAAGACGAUCAGAUACCGUCGUAGUCUUAACCAUAAACUAUGCCGACUAGGAAUCGGGCGAUGUUAUUCUCAUGACUCGCCCGGCGCCUUAUG